ACAUCAUCUCUAUACAUUAUAUGCAUUUGCAGGCAACGGUAACUAUGAACAACUUCCAAAUAUACCGGCACAUACAAAACCCGGGUUGGACAUUAGGCUGGACAUGGGCAAAGAAAGAGGUGAUUUGGUCAAUGGUUGGUGCGCAAACAACAGAACAAGGAGACUGUUCCAAGUUCAAGGGAAAUGUACCUCAUUGCUGUAAGAAAACCCCCACGGUCGUUGAUCUCUUGCCAGGUGUGCCUUACAAUCAACAGUUCUCAAACUGUUGCAAAGGUGGUGUAAUUGGAGCUUGGGGUCAAGAUCCAUCAGCUGCUGUAUCACAGUUUCAAGUUAGUGUCGGUUUAGCCGGAACCACAAACAAGACUGUCAAGCUUCCUAAGAACUUCACAUUGCUUGGUCCUGGGCCUGGUUACACCUGUGGUCCAGCCAAAAUCGUGCCAUCUACCGCUUUUCUCACAACUGAUAAACGGCGAAAAACACAGGCUUUGAGUAAGUAAUUACAUUUGUAAAAGCCCUUAACUUGAUCAGAUCCGCUGUAAAACACACAAUCUUCUAAGUUUCUUAAAGUGAAACAGAGCUUAGUUGAAGAAGUUUAAUAUUUCAUUCAUCUACAUGCAUCGAUGUUCUCUAAACAACAUUUUAAACAUAUGUUUCUGCAGUGACAUGGAAUGUUACCUGCACAUAUUCACAGUUUCUGGCCAGAAAGCAUCCAAGCUGUUGCGUCUCCUUCUCAUCUUUCUACAACGACACCAUAACUCCUUGCCCGUCUUGUGCCUGCGGUUGCGAAAACAAAAGAAGCUGCGUCAAGUGAGCAAAACAAAAACACAAAUCAGUCAAACUCAAAACUCUUUCUUAUCUCCUAAACUGAAAAGACAUUACCAAUAAUUUCUUGCAGGGCUGACUCAAAGAUUCUAACCAUGAAAGGUCUCAACACACCAAGAAAAGACAACGCUCCUUUGCUGCAAUGCACACAUCACAUGUGCCCAGUUAGAGUACACUGGCACGUUAAAACUAACUACAAAGACUAUUGGCGAGUGAAGCUAGCGAUCACGAAUUUCAAUUACCGGAUGAAUCAUACACUCUGGACAUUAGCAGUUCAGCACCCAAAUCUCAACAACGUGACUCAAGUUUUCAGCUUUGAUUACAAAUCAGUUUCUCCUUAUGGAUCCAUAAGUAAAGUUCUCUCCUCAACCACAACUUAUACUCAACUUUAAAACCUAACACUGAAAAGACUAACCAAAUUCUUAACUAUGAUGCAGAUGAUACUGGAAUGUUCUAUGGAACCAAGUUUUACAAUGAUCUAUUAAUGGAAGCUGGACCAUCAGGGAAUGUUCAGUCAGAGGUUUUGCUACAAAAAGAUCAAAAGACAUUCACUUUCAAGCAAGGUUGGGCUUUUCCGAGAAAAGUAUACUUUAAUGGAGAUGAAUGUAUGUUACCUCCACCAGAUUCAUACCCUUUUCUACCAAACUCUGCACAUGGAAGCUUUGCUUCUCUCUCACUCACCCUUCUUCUUCUUCUUCUAUUCAUCACAAUCUGGUGAUUUUAACCAGAAAUAAUUUUUUGUAACACGAUUGUUAAAUUCGAUUUCCAGAUAAAGAUAAAAAAUGGGGUUUUGUUAGAGAAAGUAAUUAGAGAUGUCUAAGCUUUUCUUUACCUUCAUCACCGCCAUUGAUUUAUGGUUUUUGUACUUCUUGAGAAC
rnacentral:lncRNA from 1 species